AGACGGAGCGGCAGAGGCCAGGAGACCUACAAAGGGGCCGUGCAACAUUCCAGCAGUGAGGUGUAGCGAGGCCCAACUAGCGUUGUGUGUGAGGACGGAGCAGAGUCGGAGCAGAGUCUGCAGCCAGGGGCCUCCCCAGCGCUCACAGCCUCGGGUAGCUGCCAGGCUAGACGCUCGCUACACUCGACUGCCCUCUAGUGGCCAAAGCCGGGAAGCCAGUCACGCCUUACAGGGCUACCUCUUAGGGAUAGAGCAUUGCGGGAACGUGAAGAAGGAGCUCCGGGCUCUCUGGUGUCAGAGAAGGCUUCCCAGAGGACACGACGCUUCCACUGAGCAUGGGCUCUUCGUUGCCAUAUGGCGUCUCUGGGGGUUUAACACUAGCCACCCCUUAUACCCCACAUAAUAGGAGCUGCUCUCUGCUUUAUACUGCCCGUCGCCGGCUGGAGUUGGAGCCUAAUUUGUGUGGCCAGAUGAGGAAAUCAAGGCACAGAGAGGCAGAGGGACUCACCCACAGUCACACAGCUGAGGUGACAGAAUCAGAACUGGGAGACUGGCUCCUGAGUCUAUGGUCUUAACCACUUGCCAUUUGACCCUCUUUGUGCUGGUCACACAACGAUGCCCAGAACCACACUGAGGAGUGUUUUGCCUUUAACCGUCUUCUAUCCUGUUCACCACCCUUGUUCAACCUGUUUCCCACUCCCUGAAGGGUACUUAAUGGCUAAAUGAAUCCCAAUUAAAUAGUAACUAGAAGAGAGGCACCUGAGCCUCCUCCCCUGGACCCUUUCCUUUCUGCUCAGUGUCCCAGUGUUUGUCACAGCAUCUGUGUUUGCAGAAGGUUCGUGGGUGCAGACUCCCCAGCAGGACGGAUGGGAGGGCACAGCCUCUGGUCUGGGGAAAUUUAUGUCUAAAGGGAGCCGAGGCGGGUGAACUAUUCUGUUUGCUCCUUUUGCUCUCUCUCAAGCACAGUCAGCUAGUGUUUUUUAAACUGUGAGUCGCCACGCAUUAGUGAAUCAUGACAACCAUUUAGUGCGUCUCAAAUCACAUUUUAUUUACGUGAAGCUAAUUAAAAUUUAAAAUAUCGUGUGCAUUUUAUGUAGCAUGGUUAAGAAUUGUUUUAGGAAAUUUUGUUGUAGUUGUGUGCACCUGCGUGUGUGUGUGUGCACACGCACACUUGGCUACGAUAUAAAAUAUAUUUCUUACUGUGAGUCCAGUCAAAAAAGUUAAAGAGCCACAUAGCUAAAUGUUUUUCUCCUCUGCUUUCACAAUACUUGUUUACAGGAGCUUUACAACCCAUGUUUUUUUUUUUUUGCUCGAGUUAAUCUGAAAGUGAGUUUCUAUCAGCCAGUCUACACUGGCCAUGAUGGAACAGAGGAGGGGUGAGGGGUGCUAAGACAGCACACGGAGGGAAGAGCACGGCCACAGAGCCGGGGUUGCACUCCUCGGCCACCAAAUGUACCACCCAGAUGAUGACCCAGCGCCUCACCUGCUUAACUGAAGUCACCUGUGCUUCAUUAAAACCUUGAGGCCUGUGAGCAAGUUAAAUUGUUUGAAUUAACACAACUUGUUGGAGCCAAACUUAAGCUAUAUUUUCAU